CAUUACCCUCCCCAUCAAGCUCAUCCUUGUCCUCAAGAAUGGAUAAAAGAAAGAUCAUCCUAGCAGCAUCUUGAAUGUGAAGGUCCAAUCUGCACUUGAAAUGGCUGAACUUGCACUUGACCAUUUUAUUCAAUUAGUAAGGCAUUUUUGCAAACACAGACUGUGCAUCUUCCCUCCCCAUUGACAAAAUCAUUUUCAUCCUGUUUCUUCUCCACUUCUCAUACUCAUUUUCUUUCAAGAGUAUAACUUUAGAGGAUCCCAAUUCAAAAUCAUAGCCCCUCAAAUCAAACUCAAAAUAAUCAGAGCAUAAUACAUGCAUGUUCUUUUUCCACCAAUUCUUUCUUGUCCUUUUCAAAAUUUUUCCCAAAGAGGGCAAACCCAAUGAUGUCACAUGUAAUUUCCAGAUUAUGAAUUAACAGGCUAAUCUUACCAUCUUGGUCUGUAGCACUCAAUCCUUGAUCUUUUUCCUCAAGUUUAGAAAUUGCAUUUUCCUCCUUACGUGUAUUUUCUUCAUGAUACCCUUUUCAGUGCAAGAAUUGAGAUUACUGGCAAGGCCUUGAUCAGCACUCCCACAUGAAAUUUGAAAAUCAGACCAAGUUCACGACCCUGCUUUUCUUCUCUUGAUUUGGAACAUUCCAAAGGCUUCAAGAUUGGUUGGCACUCUCGUUAAACAUCAUCGUCGACGGAAAGAACAAUUUCUUGGAUCUGAUUAUCAAAUCUUUGUUGGCAUCUUGCUUUCUGUUGAUUAAACUCUUCCGUUCUCCAUAGCUUUUCUUCUUGAACUGCCUCAAGCAUUUUGCAAUUACCUUCAAAAAUUUGUUGGAUCUCCAUCCUCAAAUCCCACUCCUAAACCCAUGCCAAAACAGCACAAGGGACUAUUUCCUUCAUGUCAUAUCCAACAGCUCCCAGAAGGCAUGCCACCAUAAAAGAAAUGCUUCUGAUACAAUGAGAAAUACGUAGGUCAAUGCAUGAAAAUUGCUUGUUUCCCACAGCACAUAAUAGGGGCUAAAGGCUCUAUAAAACCUUCUGCUUCACCGCUUAUCAAUGUUCAGUUUUUAUGAUUUAUUGCUCAUGACUACUCUGAACCUCGAGUUUAUAAACUUUAGGCAUCCUAAUCAACUAAGACUACAAUCUUAAGGAGUUUCAAGAUACUUCAAUGUGCAAGACAAGGCAUAACAUCUAUAUUUAAAGAAGACUCAGACUAUGAACAGAUUUAGAAUUCAGAACUUCAAUAAGAGAAUCAGAAAAUUAACUUUACAUUUUAUUGAUUCCAAACUCUAUAGAAGCAUUUUUUAACAAACUAAGGGAUCCUUAUGCCUCCCUCCAAGCCUAGAAAGCCUGAAAACAGAGGAAUGUGUCAUUGAAAGGACACCAACCAUUUCCUAUCUUUUAAAAUCAAACUUAAACAGACCUCGUUUAACAGUCAAGAGCAUUUAUUUGAUAACUGAUGCUACAUUUGCCAAAUGGUUUCUCCAGAUAGGCACAUAUGAAGGACAUGAUUAGCCAUUAUACCAAUUGUAACAACAUCGUGUGAAUUACAGUGUUACUAUUAAUACAACAUUAGGUGAAAACAAUGGGAAUUUUCGACCAUUUAGAAGUAAAUAAAAUGAACAUAUACAUCAUUAAUUUAACUAGACAGCUGCACAAUAUGAAGAGCAUCAAAAAAGUACAGAAGAAUCAAAAGUUAACACAGAAACUUCAAGAGCUCCCUGUUUUGAUUCAAACUCACGCUGCCAUCUCCGAGCAUCCCAGAAAUCUUGAUCCAUUUCACCACAAUAAUGGCCCA
rnacentral:misc_RNA from 1 species